UGGGAGUUUAGGGACCUGCAGCUCCUCUUCUGCAAACACAGCGUUCGACCUCCGCAAACCCACAGACCUGAUAAGCUGCUAAUCAGUAACAGUGUGUCUGAUAAAAACAGACAAAAAAACACAAAGUCAAUCUGCAAACAACAGAUUUAGGGUCAUAUCUUCACAAAAACUCAAACAAAAAGGCAGCUGAUAACCCAAAUAUGCAGUUAAUAAUCUAAACAUGUAUAUAUAGAAUUAAUUCAUGCUUUUUUACUAUCGUAGACUUCUUAUAAAUCACUGCAUAAUAAUGUUUACUGAGCUCAAAGUUUCAGUCUUCUUAAAAAUGUGAUACCUGAGUACUUAAAGCUGUUUACAGGGAGACAAAAGGUUUGUAUAUUAACACAUUUGAUGGUUCAGACUUCAUGUUAAUACUGUGUUUGUAGGCUUCGUGUUUAAACUAGAAAUAAAAAGUUGUACGUGUCUUUUGAUGAAGUAUUUCUUUAGAUGGAGGAACUCUACAGCCAGGGCUUGAACAGGGUUUGGUUUAUGAUCGCAGAGGAGUUUUACUGUCUGCCUUUUCUUCUUACUUCAGUCAUAUAGUGAGACUCCACAUCAUGACACAGAGCUGGUCACCUUUUGUGGAGUUUUCUGAAUCCCCUAUUACCCAGAACAUUGUGGUCUGCUCAUCGUCUCUCAAAGUUAUCAGGCCUUUCUCCUCUGGAAUCAUCGACCAGUCGAGGUGCAGAGGUCAGACACCCUCUCUACCUUUAAAAGUAGGCUCCAGACUUUCCUCUUUGUUUGAGCUGGUUCAGACCUGGAGCAGCUCUUCGUUAUGCUGUAGGGGGGACACACUGAGCACCUUUCCCUCUAUUCUCCAUCCUCUUUCUAUCUGUGUCAUUAGCUUUAAAUCAUCAUCUGCCAUCAGAGUCUCUAAAACAAUCUUUUCUGUGGAACAAUGAUGCUCUGUGUUUUCAUGAUGCAUUAUGGGAAUUCUGUAUAAAGCGGAAAGAUUUAUGAAACAUGAGAAUAAAGGUCAAAUACCUCCAAGCCACUGCAGCAGUUCCUAUCACAUGUUUUAAUAUUGUAAGUGACUCACACAGCAGAGCUUAGAGCAGCCCUGAUGUGAUCCUGUUCCAAAGCUUGAAACAAAUCUGCCCCCUACUGACGGAAACAGAGAAACACAGACACUGUGUCUGUUUCUGAAGGCCUGAAUGAGGGAGAUCUUUCUCAUGCACUGUGAUCAUUUUGGGUUAUAAAUGUUGGUUCACAUGAUAGGUUUAUUUCAGCACAUGUGGGACUAAAAGGAAAUGAACUUGCAGAUAAAUGUGCAAAACAAGCAUUUGAGUCAGACGUAUCAGUUGACACUUGGUAAAACAGAAGCCUAAGCAAUGAUAAGGAGGAUAUUAGCAGAAACAAAGGGAGAGAAUCAGAAAUAGGAAAGGAGACAAAUGUUUGGAGAUUGAGAUUAGAACACACAGGGUUAAAUAACUAACAGUCAGGCAGCAAGAGAGAGAGAGAGAUUUAGUGUUAGUGGAACCUUAAAGCUCCUAUGAGGACUUAAUUGGUGCAUAUGAAACAGACUGAACCUCAUACUAAUUUCUUGUCAUGACAUAAAAAAUCAAACAAGUCCUUCAGAGAAAAGACUUGCUUUUUUCUUAAACAUUAGGUGUCAGCCGAGCAGCUGAGGAAACAGCUUGAAGGAAAGACUGUUUUGUCUAAAAGGGGUCUUUAAAAUGUAUGUAAACCAGAAGUUUCUCACAGGAGCUUUAAUAUGCAUUUAUCUGUGAGCCGUUGCAGUAAUCAUGACGGACCAAAAGAUGCUGGUUAUGCACCAAUGCAGUUUGCUACUGCAGCGUAAAGAAGAAGGUUUGCAACUAUAUUUCUGCAAUUCAUCAGAGCAAGACAGGGUUGGUGAGGAAAAGUGUUUCAAAGAGUUCAGUCUGAAGGUGUUUAUGGAGGGCUCAGUAUCUCACACUUGUCAAAGCAUUAAAUUCACCAUUCAUAGUCAUCUUGGCUCCCUACUGUGUCCUCUAAUUAAAAAAUCUGUAAAAAGUAUCCUUCAAAGUUUCCACAAAAGUGAUGAUUGGAGAGAUUAAACACAGCCAGGACAGACCAGCACCCUCCCGUACAGUUAUACUGGAUCCAGAGCCAACUGCAGUCUGCAGCUGACCCUCAUAAUACCACAAAACUUUAAAGGAUAGUCUGAGUCAGUUAUCACUUUAGACAAAUUCAACUACCAGAAAAUCAAAAUUCUUUCUCCAAAGUCCACCUAAACAGUCUAUAAAUAUGCAAAAUAUUCAUAUUUCAAUUAUUCAUCCUUUAUUCAUCUUCAUUCAAACUUUCAUAUUGUAAAAUUAUGGCUUUAAUAAGUAGUGGGACCAUUUAAGUUUGACUCAAGUGGCACUAACAGUGAAUUAAAUCUCAUAAUUUACAGAUUUUUACAGUGUAUUUUUUAAUUAUUUCAGCUGGAUUCUGAUAUGGCAAAAAUCAGACUCAGUCUGCAUCAGCACAGGAGAGUAGGGAAGUAUAAGCUGUCUAAGGAUACCAAGGCAAAUACAAAAAUGGGUAUGUUAAUUAAACAUUGGUACAAUUUGUAUGAGAUAUAUGAAUAAUGGUGUAGGUAUGAGGUAGAUGAUUGAAAAUAAACUGUCUCACAGUAAUAACAUGGGAACAGCUGCAUAGUUUCAUACUGAUACAGUUAAAGAGCGAAGAGGGCGGAUUUUACGUGGAAGAAUAAAAAACAAAAUAAUCAAAAUAUGAUUUAAGAGUCGACAUUAUUCGCACAGGAAGUGUUUUAUUCUGGGUGUUGGUUACUUAUAUAUCAUAUUAAACAGCAUGUUCAAUCAUUUUUGAUGUGGUGCUCGUGAGUAUUUCAUGGACAUGGAGCUUUGUUUUAAUCACAUUUUAUCAUUUGUUUUUUGGCACCACAAAUUCAGUCGUGACACUCCUCUCACCUUUCCCACAGUAUCCAACACUGAUUAGGAUACAAACAAAUAUAAAAAAAACUCAAAAAUAGAAGAAAACAUUGAGAAAUUUGCAAUCUUUUAUUUAUGAGGAAGUUUGGUUACAAAAACAUAAUGUAGUGCAGGGCUACAAAAAAGAAAAAAACACUAAUUUGAUCAACUUUUCAUUUUUAUCUCCUUAUUUAUUUCAUAGUACUUUCAUAAUUAGCCAAACUUGUUAAUGUGCUGUUAUUUUUUUUUCUUUCUCUCAGUUAUCAUGGCCACAUUUCUUCCAAUAUAUAUAAAAUUUCUCAUAUUUCCUUCGACUUGAAUUCCAUCUUGUUUCUUUAUAAAAAGUAAUGAAUAUAAAGUUCGGUAUUGCAAGAGAGCGGUCCGUACUUUCCCAGUUCAGCACAAUCAGUCUUCUUGAUGUAAAAACAUAUUCAUCAAGAGUGCUGCAGGUGCAAAGCAAUCAUGAUGAAUGUCCAGUAUGUGCAGAACUUUGCCUCAAGGGGGAUCUCUAUAGAAGCUUUAUGUGAUAUCAAGUUGACUAUUUCUAUCCAGAACAGCCAGAUCAUUUCACAUUUUCACUUACACUGGAUAACUGUAAACACAUUAUUGCUGCGCUCGGAGCAAAAUUCAAACUUCAUUACACAGAUUAAUGCUCAAAUAAGACAGAAAAUAAAUCGAGACAUUAUAAAUACAUCAUAAAUGACGAUGUAAAUUUGGGUUUGGGAUGAGUUGCUGAAUUUUCCACACUAGAUGAUGUUGGAAACUAACAGUUUAGGCUAUUGUCACCUGAAGUUGUUCAACUUACUUCAGAUUUGAUGAUAAUUUUAGACUAAUCCUAUAAGGUUUGGGUCUAAAAUGUUAAUUCUCAUUUGCAUUGGACCUGCAGCAAAACCUCAGAUACCAUAUUACUCUUCAAUAUCACUAAUUUUGAAGCACGGCUGAAAUAUUCUUUUAUUUUCAAAAGGCUCUUGUUUAGUCUUGUGAAUGAAAUGAGCUGCAAACUAGUUUAUAUCAGUAAGUUUGUGGUUAUUUGCAUAUUUGGUCAAAUGUCCUUAUCUGAACUUAAUAAGAGGCCAAAAUUAACAAACUUGUGGAAAAUUAGACAAUUUAGUCUAAUUAUCUAUGUUCAAUAAAUUAAUGAGAACCAUGAUAAAUAAUAUGAACUAAAACAAGUCCUCUAAACUGCAGUACCAAGUGUGCUGGAGGUCUGCCGCAUUACUUCCGGCUGCAUUAGUAUCACUAUCAUGCCACUGCUCCCUCCCCUAAUCUCCCAGCAUGCAUCACCCUCCGACUGUGACUGUAUCCACUUUAAAAUCUCUCAACUGAUCCUUCCAAGUACAAUAUGUUCCCAACGCAAUGAGGUGAAUCCAUCCGCCCAUUUAGACGAGAUGCAUGGCUGCCAGAAGAUGGAGCCACUUUCCACCAAAUGACUCAACAUUACUUCAGCGACACAGAGGCUGAACCGAGGGUGAGGAGGCCACAGGGAGUGGGGAGGUGUAAGGACGUUACAAGCAGUUAGCUUCCCACUGGGAUCUUUUGUCUGGGGACUUGGGGGCAGCUUGGGCUUACUGGCCCCAUUUGCACCAUAUGCCAUAGGAGGCCUGGCUGUCACAUCAGAUGAGGACCUCUGUGUGAUGGCAUAACUGACCAAGCAGUUUCCUCCAAGUGUACAUUUACAGCCACUGCGCAGCUUUCAUCACACUGUAAAUACUGUUGAAACGGCUAUAAAAAUAAUCAGGAUUAAGCUAGCGUUCAAUCUGGUUUUACGUAUUUAUACAAUUUAACCUUACAGUUCCCUUAAUGCACACCUUUUGGAGUAUUAAUACAUGCAAUAAUCUUAUGCCUGUCAAAUGAAGCUUGUAAUCUUGUUGGGAUAAGUGCAUUACUGGAAGGCAGUAAAAGACAUAUUUGGUGCCUCUAGUGCUCAAUGAUAUAAUCUACUUGAAGUCAGUUCAUACAUUUUUGGACAAUGUCCUUAACACAAAGGUUAGUACAAUUUCUGUUUUACAUUGUUUUUCAAAAUCAUUAAAAUAAGUAAAGUCACAGCCUUGAAGAUGCACAUUGAAUCUUGUGUUACAAGCAUCCAUUUAAGACUAGGAGUAAAUAACACAAGUUCAGAGAGACACUAAUAUGCAUUUAGAAAAUGACUCAUCGUGUGAUUACAAAUGGCUUUUGGGGGGAUUAAAUUUUUCAGCCAUAAAAUAAAGCAACACAACUACCGUUUCCAAGCAAACUGAAUAUCAUACAGUGAGUUAUGAAACCACAAGCUGAAUAAACGCCACAAAUAAAUAAAUAAAAAUCCCUUAAUGUAAACCCAAUAGGUAGGCUGGGCCAUUGUUUCAGAAAGCCUGCAUAAUACUACAGGGAUUUCCUUGAUGAUUUCACUAUUCAAAUCUAAUUUAACAAAUCAAACUUAUAUCCUUCUUUUCAAGCACUUACUGUAAAAAACAAAAUACACCUACUAGCCAUAACAUUGUAAACACAGCCUGGGCAAUAUUAUGCAAUCCAGCCCUACGACAAAGCCUACUUUCAAGAAGCUUCUAAAUCUUUUGGUGAUAUAAGACAGGUGCUUGUUGUAGGCCUACUUUAAUAUUGAAGAUGCAGUGAUUGACAACCGUGUACUACUCACUGUGUCUCAUACAGAGAGGUGUUCCUUAUAUUUUGUCCGGUUCAUUCAACAAACAUACGUGGUGCAAAAUAUUAGGAACACCUACAGCUAUAAUGCAUGCAUCACCGCUGAUGAGCAACUUUUACCUGUCAUACGAAUUUCCUUUUUUUGAAUGAAGUAAUUUAGAUGUUUUUAUAGAGCAGAUCUUGAGGUAGAGAUUAUUUUAUGGAUUACAUGGUUUACCAGGUGCUAACACUGUUAUGGCUGGUCGGUGUUAUCCUUAUCGAGGAACUACAACAGAAAUCGCAGUGGUUAUCUAGUACGUUGUAAUCAAAAACGGCAAAUUACCGCCGAAAUUAAGAGGGGAAAGAUAAUAUGAUGGUACAUUACUGUAAUAGUACUAACACGAUCAGGCGUCGUUGCUGAUUCAAAGAUGGUCUUCUGCCAUCAUACACUAACUAGUAUUAUUAACUCCCUCGGCGCCAACAUCGUUGUAAAAGACAUAAGUAUAUCUGAUUAAAUGAGCACCAAACAAUGUUAACUAUCACAUUAGAAUAAGUUAAGUAGAAUAGUUAUCUUGAACAAUGGCUAACGGUUUCGAAAGCAAAUAGCGUGUUUUAAACGAAUGACACAGCAACCGAUAUACGCUUGCGGUUCAUUUGUGAUAAAAUUACCGAGUGUGUGGUGCUAAAUUAGACGUAUCAUAACAGACGAAAGCAUCUUAUCCGCUUGAAGGUGAGCUGUUUGUAUUGUAAAGUAGUUGACAUUAUAAGCCGUCUCUGAGCGGAGUUGUAGUCUGAUGCAAGACGCUGGUGUUGCUAACGUUAGCACUCACGCGAGUCACCUAUAACUAUAUUUUUCCGGUUAGCCGGCGAAAAAGUUGUUAAAAUCCGGCUUGAAACAGCGGUAAAAUGCCUUGUCGACAAGUUAGGUUAGUUGUUAAUAAAGCAAAAACUGCUCAAACAUCUACGUUGUAAUUCAGCUAAGCAUGCUAACGUACGCUGGCCGAGCUAGAGCGCGACCGUCAGUUAGCCCAGAAUUCGGAUGACGGUUGGGGAGUCCAAACAGGCGGGAGGUGAACUCGGGUGUGCUGCCGUUUGUUCCCCAAAAAGAGCACUUUUUUGGAAAACCACACGCAAGGACACGCACUUUUCCGCUGUCUAGUGUCAAUUCCUCAAAAUGGGGUCUGCUAACGUACGUCUCCGCCAUUUUGUGACAGGUUUUUCAUUGAGCAAAGGGGUACGUGUAAUGGUUGAAUGUAACCCCAUCAAGAAGAUAUCCGCUUGGCAGUUACAGGGAGAAGGGAUC